UGAGAUGUUAUUCAUUUAAUUUUUCCAGCUUGCCUGGUGAGAAUCGUUUAUCAAGCUUGCUUGUAUUGUGUAAUGUUUUGCAGGCUGGUUAAUAUUUACUCAAGACCCAACAUAAAUUUUACAACAGCUUCCUGUAACGGCAAAUGAUUAAUUUUCACAUCUGUGUGUGUUUCUACAAAACGUUCAUCAUUCACAUAUUCAGGA